UUAAGCGACUAAGCGUACACGGUGGAUGCCCUGGCAGUCAGAGGCGAUGAAGGACGUGCUAAUCUGCGAAAAGCGCCGGCGAGGUGAUAUGAACCUUUGACCCGGCGAUGUCCGAAUGGGGAAACCCAGUGCAAUUCGUUGCACUAUCGUUAACUGAAUACAUAGGUUAACGAGGCGAACCGGGGGAACUGAAACAUCUAAGUACCCCGAGGAAAAGAAAUCAACCGAGAUUCCCCCAGUAGCGGCGAGCGAACGGGGAGCAGCCCGGAGUCUGAAUCAGCUUGUGUGUUAGUGGAACGGUCUGGAAAGUCCGACGGUACAGGGUGAUAGUCCCGUACACGAAAGCACACUUGCUGUGAACUCGAAGAGUAGGGCGGGACACGUGGUAUCCUGUCUGAAUAUGGGGGGACCAUCCUCCAAGGCUAAAUACUCCUGACUGACCGAUAGUGAACCAGUACCGUGAGGGAAAGGCGAAAAGAACCCCGGCGAGGGGAGUGAAAAAGAACCUGAAACCGUGUACGUACAAGCAGUGGGAGCCUCUUUAUGGGGUGACUGCGUACCUUUUGUAUAAUGGGUCAGCGACUUAUAUUCUGUAGCAAGGUUAACCGUAUAGGGGAGCCGAAGGGAAACCGAGUCUUAACUGGGCGUUAAGUUGCAGGGUAUAGACCCGAAACCCGGUGAUCUAGCCAUGGGCAGGUUGAAGGUUGGGUAACACUAACUGGAGGACCGAACCGACUAAUGUUGAAAAAUUAGCGGAUGACCUGUGGCUGGGGGUGAAAGGCCAAUCAAACCGGGAGAUAGCUGGUUCUCCCCGAAAGCUAUUUAGGUAGCGCCUCGUGAACUCAUCUUCGGGGGUAGAGCACUGUUUCGGCUAGGGGGCCAUCCCGGCUUACCAACCCGAUGCAAACUACGAAUACCGAAGAAUGUUAUCACGGGAGACACACGGCGGGUGCUAACGUCCGUCGUGAAGAGGGAAACAACCCAGACCGCCAGCUAAGGUCCCAAAGUCAUGGUUAAGUGGGAAACGAUGUGGGAAGGCACAGACAGCCAGGAUGUUGGCUUAGAAGCAGCCAUCAUUUAAAGAAAGCGUAAUAGCUCACUGGUCGAGUCGGCCUGCGCGGAAGAUGUAACGGGGCUAAACCAUGCACCGAAGCUGCGGCAGCGACGCUUAUGCGUUGUUGGGUAGGGGAGCGUUCUGUAAGCCGUUGAAGGUGUCCUGUGAGGGGUGCUGGAGGUAUCAGAAGUGCGAAUGCUGACAUAAGUAACGAUAAAGCGGGUGAAAAGCCCGCUCGCCGGAAGACCAAGGGUUCCUGUCCAACGUUAAUCGGGGCAGGGUGAGUCGACCCCUAAGGCGAGGCCGAAAGGCGUAGUCGAUGGGAAACAGGUUAAUAUUCCUGUACUUGGUGUUACUGCGAAGGGGGGACGGAGAAGGCUAUGUCAGCCGGGCGACGGUUGUCCCGGUUUAAGCAUGUAGGCGGAGGUUCCAGGUAAAUCCGGUACCUUAUUAACGCUGAGGUGUGAUGACGAGGCACUACGGUGCUGAAGUGAUAAAUGCCCUGCUUCCAGGAAAAGCCUCUAAGCAUCAGGUAACACGAAAUCGUACCCCAAACCGACACAGGUGGUCAGGUAGAGAAUACCAAGGCGCUUGAGAGAACUCGGGUGAAGGAACUAGGCAAAAUGGUGCCGUAACUUCGGGAGAAGGCACGCUGAUAUGUAGGUGAAGUCCCUGCGGACGGAGCUGAAAUCAGUCGAAGAUACCAGCUGGCUGCAACUGUUUAUUAAAAACACAGCACUGUGCAAACACGAAAGUGGACGUAUACGGUGUGACGCCUGCCCGGUGCCGGAAGGUUAAUUGAUGGGGUUAGCGGCAACGCGAAGCUCUUGAUCGAAGCCCCGGUAAACGGCGGCCGUAACUAUAACGGUCCUAAGGUAGCGAAAUUCCUUGUCGGGUAAGUUCCGACCUGCACGAAUGGCGUAAUGAUGGCCAGGCUGUCUCCACCCGAGACUCAGUGAAAUUGAACUCGCUGUGAAGAUGCAGUGUACCCGCGGCAAGACGGAAAGACCCCGUGAACCUUUACUAUAGCUUGACACUGAACACUGGUCCUUGAUGUGUAGGAUAGGUGGGAGGCUUUGAAGCGUGGACGCCAGUCUGCGUGGAGCCAACCUUGAAAUACCACCCUUUAAUGGCUGGUGUUCUAACGUAGACCCGUAAUCCGGGUUGCGGACAGUGUCUGGUGGGUAGUUUGACUGGGGCGGUCUCCUCCCAAAGAGUAACGGAGGAGCACGAAGGUUGGCUAAUCCUGGUCGGACAUCAGGAGGUUAGUGCAAUGGCAUAAGCCAGCUUGACUGCGAGCGUGACGGCGCGAGCAGGUGCGAAAGCAGGUCAUAGUGAUCCGGUGGUUCUGAAUGGAAGGGCCAUCGCUCAACGGAUAAAAGGUACUCCGGGGAUAACAGGCUGAUACCGCCCAAGAGUUCAUAUCGACGGCGGUGUUUGGCACCUCGAUGUCGGCUCAUCACAUCCUGGGGCUGAAGUAGGUCCCAAGGGUAUGGCUGUUCGCCAUUUAAAGUGGUACGCGAGCUGGGUUUAGAACGUCGUGAGACAGUUCGGUCCCUAUCUGCCGUGGGCGCUGGAGAAUUGAGGGGGGCUGCUCCUAGUACGAGAGGACCGGAGUGGACGCAUCACUGGUGUUCGGGUUGUCAUGCCAAUGGCACUGCCCGGUAGCUAAAUGCGGAAGAGAUAAGUGCUGAAAGCAUCUAAGCACGAAACUUGCCCCGAGAUGAGUUCUCCCUGAGACUUUAAGUCUCCUGAAGGAACGUUGAAGACGACGACGUUGAUAGGUCGGGUGUGUAAGCGCAGCGAUGCGUUGAGCUAACCGAUACUAAUGAACCGUGAGGCUUAACCUU
rnacentral:rRNA from 5 species